rnacentral:lncRNA from 1 species
AAUGAAUGUAUAGUCUCCAAUUUUCAUUUCUCCAUGUGGCCGGUUCCAUGACUUUCGGCAGCCAUGAACCCCAAGUUUUGGAGGAGGACUACGUCAUUCACUUCUGGGAAUAGGGCAGAUAGCUUGGAUCUCUCCAUGAGCUGCUGAAGAGUCGAAAAACAAAUAAACGUCAACAGCGCUGAAUCCCAACAUUGUUUAAUGACAACCUUGCCAUGUUUGCCAACUUGCUGCUUAACAACAAUCCUGUUGACACUGUGUAAAAACCUUCCAGGUCCUCCCAGCCUUCAUCGCUCCUCAGCCCCUUGAGGAAAAUAGAGCUGCUGUCUCAUGAUGAGUUCUCUCUACCCUAUUUG